rnacentral:rRNA from 1 species
CCUACGGGAGGCUGCAGUGAGGAAUAUUGGUCAAUGGACGCAAGUCUGAACCAGCCAUGCCGCGUGCAGGAUGACGGCUCUAUGAGUUGUAAACUGCUUUUGUACGAGGGUAAACCCCGAUACGUGUAUCGGGUUGAAAGUACCGUACGAAUAAGGAUCGGCUAACUCCGUGCCAGCAGCCGCGGUAAUACGGAGGAUCCGAGCGUUAUCCGGAUUUAUUGGGGUUAAAGGGUGCGCAGGCGGUAUGAUAAGUUAGCGGUGAAAUGUCGGGGCUCAACCCCGAAACUGCCUCUAAUACUGUUGGUCUAGAGAAUGCUUGCGGUAUGCGGAAUGUGUGGUGUAGCGGUGAAAUGCUUAGAGAUCAUACAGAACACCGAUUGCGAAGGCAGCUUACCGACGUAUAUCUGACGUUGAGGCACGAAAGUGUGGGUAGCGAACAGGAUUAGAUACCCGAGUAGUC